rnacentral:sRNA from 1 species
UAGAUGUUGAUGUCAGCUGUGCUGCGCACCUGACAGCAUAGAUUGAUAAUGUGCUCUGGAGAACGCGUAGUUGAUUGGAUCUCCUCGAGGAAGUACAGGAUGGCUAUAUACCCCGCUAAUCUGUAAUUCAAUUCUAUUUUUUGCCCCCUUAUUUUCUUCUUCCAGCUGGAUGUAUGUUUGAUGAUCAUGAUGAUACGGCCCUGUUGUUGUUAAAGAUGUGUUUUGUGGGGGGCUUUUUAGCUGUAGCACUUCCCCUCCUGUUGUACG